GAGCUGCUGUGAGUUUUAAGAGUUCAUCAGCCUCAGAGAAAUUGAUGAACCACUGACUAAGAGGAUGAUUUUUUGUAUCACCUCUCUUCAAGGCAUGCAGAUCCUCAAUUGGUGCAGGAGGCAACUUAAAUGUUGUAGGAAGCCGUGGAACGACUACUGAAGGAUGGUUCUGAAUACGAGAAAAGAAAUCCUCAGGAGGAUCAGGGAAUACAAUCUCAUUGUAAGUUUCCACAACAAUAGGUUUCUUUGUCGACUGGGGGCCAGGCUCAUUCUCUGCGUAUAACUUCAAAUGAUGAUACAAAUCCAACUUCUUUUCACCAACGUCAUCGUGGAAGAGAAGGGAUAUUGC
rnacentral:misc_RNA from 1 species